rnacentral:lncRNA from 1 species
UAAAGCAAUUCGAGCAUCAGAGUUACCGAUACCUCUAAUAUUCCAAUAGAGAAAAAUCAUUGGGCAUGCGGGUUAGUGUCACCUCGUGCACGGGAUUUGGAAGGCUGCUUGGAUAAAACGUGUUGUACCUUAAGUUUUUGUUUCUGAUUUCGUCUCACUUUAAAGUUGUAUCCCAUCUUUGUCAAAAAGAAAAGGUUGUAUCGCAUCAAAUUGUAGGAGUCUUAACAAUUAUAUGUUACACUAAUUGCAUCUACAAUGAAGUAUGUAAGUGACUAAGAGUGUGUUGGAUGAGGGAAUGUGAUGUUUUGAAGGAAUUCAAAUACUUUGAUGUGAAUUCCAUUGUUUGGA